AGAGCGAACGCUGGCGGCAGGCCUAACACAUGCAAGUCGAGCGCCGUAGCAAUACGGAGCGGCAGACGGGAGAGUAACACGUGGGAACGUGCCCUUUGGUUCGGAACAACACAGGGAAACUUGUGCUAAUACCGGAUAAGCCCUUACGGGGAAAGAUUUAUCGCCGAAGGAUUGGCCCGCGUUCGAUUAGCUAGUUGGUGAGGUAACGGCUCACCAAGGCGACGAUCGAUAGCUGGUCUGAGAGGAUGAUCAGCCACAUUGGGACUGAGACACGGCCCAAACUCCUACGGGAGGCAGCAGUGGGGAAUAUUGGACAAUGGGCGCAAGCCUGAUCCAGCCAUGCCGCGUGAGUGAUGACGGCCUUAGGGUUGUAAAGCUCUUUCGCUAGGGACGAUAAUGACGGUACCUAGACAAGAAGCCCCGGCUAACUUCGUGCCAGCAGCCGCGGUAAUACGAAGGGGGCUAGCGUUGUUCGGAAUUACUGGGCGUAAAGCGCGUGUAGGCGGGCUUUUAAGUCAGGGGUGAAAUGCCAAGGCUCAACCUUGGAACUGCCUUUGAUACUGGAAGUCUUGAGUCCGGGAGAGGUGAGUGGAACUGCGAGUGUAGAGGUGAAAUUCGUAGAUAUUCGCAAGAACACCAGUGGCGAAGGCGGCUCACUGGCCCGGAACUGACGCUGAGACGCGAAAGCGUGGGGAGCAAACAGGAUUAGAUACCCUGGUAGUCCACGCCCUAAACGAUGUCAAUUAGCUGUUGGGGGUUUGAAUCCUUGGUAGCGAAGCUAACGCGUGAAAUUGACCGCCUGGGGAGUACGGCCGCAAGGUUAAA
rnacentral:rRNA from 1 species